GCUUACGGCCAUACCAGCCCAAGAGCGCCCGGUCUCGUCUGAUCUCGAAAGCUAAGAAGGCUUGGCCUGGUUAGUACUUGGAAUGGUAGACCUCCUGGGAAUACCAGGUGCUGUAAGCU
ensembl:rRNA 5S_rRNA 5S ribosomal RNA